GGUCUUGUGGUGUAAUGGGCAGCACACAGGCAGAAUAGCUACUUAGUAAGUCUCGAGCUGGCCUCGAGCAAUAAGGCGAAAACAAGCAGGUCCCGGUUCAACUCCGGGCUGGGCCG